rnacentral:rRNA from 1 species
GAUGAACGCUAGCUACAGGCUUAACACAUGCAAGUCGAGGGGAAACGACAUCGAAAGCUUGCUUUUGAUGGGCGUCGACCGGCGCACGGGUGAGUAACGCGUAUCCAACCUGCCCACCACUUGGGGAUAACCUUGCGAAAGUAAGACUAAUACCCAAUGAUAUCUCUAGAAGCCAUCUGAAAGAGAUUAAAGAUUUAUCGGUGAUGGAUGGGGAUGCGUCUGAUUAGCUUGUUGGCGGGGUAACGGCCCACCAAGGCAACGAUCAGUAGGGGUUCUGAGAGGAAGGUCCCCCACAUUGGAACUGAGACACGGUCCAAACUCCUACGGGAGGCAGCAGUGAGGAAUAUUGGUCAAUGGACGAGAGUCUGAACCAGCCAAGUAGCGUGCAGGAAGACGGCCCUAUGGGUGGUAAACUGCUUUUAUAAGGGAAUAAAGUGAGUCUCGUGAGACUUUUUGCAUGUACCUUAUGAAUAAGGACCGGCUAAUUCCGUG